rnacentral:rRNA from 1 species
AUUCCAGCUCCAAUAGCGUAUAUUAAAGUUGUUGCAGUUAAAAAGCUCGUAGUUGGAUUUCUGGCCGAGUGUCCCUAGGCCAGCUUGACGUUUGGUCCUAGGCGCUCUGCCAUCCUUCUGUUAACCUUCGCCUCGUUCACUCGUGGCGCUGGGGCUCAGAUAUUUUACCUUGAGAAAAUUAGAGUGUUUCAGGCAGGCUUUCGCCGGAAUACAUUAGCAUGGAAUAAUGGAAAAGGACUUCAACCUCUUCUGUUGGUCUGAGAGGCUGUAGUAAUGAUUAAUAGGGAUAGUUGGGGGCAUUAGUACUUAACUGUCAGAGGUGAAGCUCUCCGAUUUGUUAAAGACUAACUUAUGCGAAAGCAUUUGCCAAGGAUGUUUUCAUUA